UGCCUGAUGGAGGGGGAUAACUACUGGAAACGGUAGCUAAUACCGCAUAACGUCGCAAGACCAAAGAGGGGGACCUUCGGGCCUCUUGCCAUCGGAUGUGCCCAGAUGGGAUUAGCUAGUAGGUGGGGUAACGGCUCACCUAGGCGACGAUCCCUAGCUGGUCUGAGAGGAUGACCAGCCACACUGGAACUGAGACACGGUCCAGACUCCUACGGGAGGCAGCAGUGGGGAAUAUUGCACAAUGGGCGCAAGCCUGAUGCAGCCAUGCCGCGUGUAUGAAGAAGGCCUUCGGGUUGUAAAG
rnacentral:rRNA from 1 species